rnacentral:rRNA from 1 species
GUGAGGAAUAUUGGACAAUGGAUGGAAAUCUGAUCCAGCCAUGCCGCGUGCAGGAAGACGGCCCUAUGGGUUGUAAACUGCUUUUAUACGGGAGCAAUAAGGUCUAUGCAUAGAUUGAUGAGAGUACCGUAUGAAUAAGCAUCGGCUAACUCCGUGCCAGCAGCCGCGGUAAUACGGAGGAUGCGAGCGUUAUCCGGAUUUAUUGGGUUUAAAGGGUGCGUAGGCGGCUUUGUAAGUCAGCGGUGAAAUUUUGCAGCUUAACUGUAAAAGCGCCGUUGAUACUGUGAAGCUAGGAUUUGGUUGCUGUGGGCAGAAUGUGUGGUGUAGCGGUGAAAUGCAUAGAGAUCACACAGAAUAUCGAUUGCGAAGGCAGCUCACAAAGCCAAUAUUGACGCUGAGGCACGAAAGUGUGGGGAUCAAACAGGAUUAGAUACCCUUGUAGUCC